UAGUCCACGCCGUAAACGAUGAUUACUCACUGUAGGCGAUACACAGUCUGUGGCUAAGCGAAAGUUUUAAGUAAUCCACCUGGGGAGUACGAUCGCAAGAUUGAAACUCAAAGGAAUUGACGGGGGCCCGCACAAGCGGAGGAACAUGUGGUUUAAUUCGAUGAUACGCGAGGAACCUUACCUGGACUUAAAUGUACGUUGCAUGGAUUGGAGACAGUCUUUUCUUCGGACUACGUACAAGGUGCUGCAUGGUUGUCGUCAGCUCGUGCCGUGAGGUGUCGGGUUAAGUCCCAUAACGAGCGCAACCCCUGUCUUUAGUUGCCGGCAUGUAAUGAUGGGGACUCUAAAGAGACUGCCUCCGUAAGGAGUGAGGAAGGUGGGGAUGACGUCAAAUCAUCAUGGCCUUUAUGCCUAGGGCUACACACGUGCUACAAUGGUAAAUACAGAGGGCAGCGAACCUGCGAGGGGGAGCCGAAUCUCUGAAAGUUUAUCUCAGUUCGGAUUGGAGUC
rnacentral:rRNA from 1 species